GAGGGUAUAACUCAACGGUUAGAGUGUUGUACUUUUAAUACAAAAAUGUAGGUUCGAUUCCUACUAUCCUUA
rfam:Nelumbo nucifera contig058012, whole genome shotgun sequence